rnacentral:rRNA from 1 species
CCCUUAGAUGUUCUGGGCCGCACGCGUGCUACACUGAGUGGAUCAGCGGGUCAGGUUGCGCGAAAGUGUUUCCUAAUCUUUAAAUCCGCUCGUGAUGGGGAUUGACGGUUGCAAUUUUCCGUCAUGAACGAGGAAUACCUUGUAAGCGCGGGUCAUCAUCCCGCGCUGAAUACGUCCCUGCCCUUUGUACACACCGCCCGUCGCUCCUACCGAUUGAGUGGUCCGGUGAGGCUUUGGGAUCUGAGCGGAAAGAGCGUUUCGCUGUUUCUGCCCGGAAAACUCAGUCGAACCUUAUCAUUUAGAGGAAGGAGAAGGCGGAACA